UGAAAACUUUCUCUGAAUUCAGUUAUUCUUCCCUUACAACAGUGCUUUACGACCCGAAAGCCUUCAUCACACACGCGGCGUCGCUCCGUCACACUUUCGUGCAUUGCGGAAAAUUCCCUACUGCAGCCUCCCGUAGGAGUUUGGGCAGUGUCUCAGUCCCAAUGUGGCCGGCCAGUCUCUCAACUCGGCUACGCAUCAUUGCCUUGGUAGGCUUCUACCCUACCAACAAGCUAAUACGCCGCAAGACCAUCCUCUAGCGAUCCAAAAGGACCUUUCAAACAGAUCACAUGUGUGAUUUGUUGUUACGCGGUAUUAGCAUCUGUUUCCAAAUGUUAUCCCCCACUAAAGGGCAGGUUUCUUACGUGUUACUCACCAGUUCGCCACUCUAGUCAUUGCCUCACUUCACCCGAAGG
rnacentral:rRNA from 1 species